AUGGCAGGGGCCAGUGAUCCCUCCUUUGUGUCUGGCUAUCCAUACAGCUAUGACAUCUGCUGUGAUAAUUUGAAGGAUCUUAGGUUGGCUCAUAUUAUAACAGAGCCAGAAAUUGGACUUCGUUUUCUCCUGGGGAAGUGCAAAGCAUUGGAGACACUUUACCUGGAGUAUGUUAUUUGUCUAAAAGAGAAUGAGAUGAUUGCACUAUUUCAGAGGUGCAACAACCUUAAAACAAUCUCACUUCGGCUCAUGCCUCUGCAUUGUGAAGGUUAUGAGUAUAGGACGCCAUUGACUGAUGUUAGCCUUAAGGCUCUAGCUCUCAGUUGCCCUAUGCUUCAGGCUGUUGAGCUCACAUUCACAUUUUGCGAACCCGAUUGGCCUACUGAAAUAGGUUUCACACAAGAGGGCAUUGUGGCGCUCAUCCAAUCUUGUCCAAUUCGCGCUCUUUUGCUAAAUGGUGCCAGCAUUUUGUAUGACGAGGGGAUGGAGGGCCUCUCAUCCGCACAGUUCCUGGAGACACUUGAGCUCGUGGAUUGCAUGUCUGUAACUGAUGCUGGUAUUAGUCACAUUAUUCAAGCUCCUUGCAUGAGUAGUCUCAUCCUCCGCAAAUGUGAGAACGUGACAGAUCGUGGAAUGGCUGAGCUGGCACGUUCACAGAAGUUGGAGUCCCUGACCGUUAUAGGCUGCCGCCAGAUCUCUCAGGAAGGUGUGCAUGGUGCUGCCAAAUCAGUUUGCUACUUGGCAGAGAUUGAAAGCCACGACAGUCUAAAAGGAAUGAACAUGAACAGGAACAGGAAAAGACGUCGAUCGCCCUGA
rnacentral:rRNA from 1 species